rnacentral:rRNA from 1 species
GGAAUAUUGGACAAUGGGGGGAACCCUGAUCCAGCCAUGCCGCGUGUGUGAAGAAGGCCUUUUGGUUGUAAAGCACUUUAAGCGAGGAGGAGGCUACUCUAGUUAAUACCUAGAGAUAGUGGACGUUACUCGCAGAAUAAGCACCGGCUAACUCUGUGCCAGCAGCCGCGGUAAUACAGAGGGUGCGAGCGUUAAUCGGAUUUACUGGGCGUAAAGCGUGCGUAGGUGGCCAAUUAAGUCAAAUGUGAAAUCCCCGAGCUUAACUUGGGAAUUGCAUUCGAUACUGGUUGGCUAGAGUAUGGGAGAGGAUGGUAGAAUUCCAGGUGUAGCGGUGAAAUGCGUAGAGAUCUGGAGGAAUACCGAUGGCGAAGGCAGCCAUCUGGCCUAAUACUGACACUGAGGUACGAAAGCAUGGGGAGCAAACAGGAUUAGAUACCCGAG